AUGAAGCUUUUGAUUUGCCAAAUCUGUAACGGCUUCACAAAGGUGCCUUCCAUAGGAGCUACAGCAGCUCAUAGCUCGUGCACUGUGAGCCUUGUCCUUGGAGCAGGAGCAGGCACAACAGAGAGCUGUUUCCAUCUCCCUGGCGAAGGACCCUUGGUCUUGGAUGCACAUCCGUGGUCUCCUGGCUGUCAGACCCAUCCGUCAGGAUGGCACGGAGCCCAUCCUCAGCCUUGUUACGUGUGCUCACUGCAACGCAGGUACUCAGCAGCCGUGGGCUUAGGGCAGGCACUCCACAGCGUGGCAAAUAGCGCCCAGCAUACAGGAAACAACACCUCUGGGCUGUUUGUAGCUCUCUAUGUUUAUUUCGGGUAUAUGUGUUAUGUAGAUAGAUGUCAUGGGAUCUGUGGAUAGAAAAACGUGAGUCAAAAUAUUUGUAUUUGGAAGCAGGAAAUUAGACUACUAAGUCUGUAUGUCUGUAUAUAUAUAUAUAUGUACAUAUACAUACAUGUGUCCAUGUGUAUGCUCUGUUUUUCAAAGAGGAGGAUACACUGCAGUUCCCUGUACAGAAACAGAUAUUCAUUCAGAACAUCUGAAAAUCAAACCGCUUGAAAAUAUGGACUGGACAGACACCUGGCACAGUGUUCAUUUAGCAAGUAGCCCUCUUUUAGACUCCUGUUUCUGUAAAUCUUGGUUAUUUAUGAUACCACCCAGGAUAAGACCAUGGCAUCUUGAAGUGAAACGCUGAAGGGACAAGCUCAGCCUCUUGGACGCACAACUGGGGCAAGGCAUGGAGGUGUACAGAGGAGAUGACGUUCGCUUGCAGCUCUUUGGCUGCAUUGCCUCUAGAUCACCGCUCCACAAGUGUGCAGGCAGAUUCAUGUUAUCUUUUUCAGAUAAUGGACUGCGGACCUCCAGCAAACUUUCUCUUCAGAGCUUUGUGUGCAACACCGCUCUCUGUGCGCUCUCGGUGUGAGGUCUCCUGACUUCUCGCUCUGUGUGAGGGUGGCUUAACAGUCACUGAAAAUGUGGGCUCAGUGAUUAGCGUGCUGGCAGCAGAGCGGCAGGAGGUCUUGCUUACAUCCACAGGGCCAAACAAAGGUCUCUUUGUAGGGCCCGCUGCUGUGGGAGUGCGGCAGCUUAAGAAUACACAGUUUGUCAUCAGCAAUUAUCCGGGUGUCAUAACUGAGGAUCUGCCACAACACCUACAGUUCCGACACACAGCGUGCCUCUGUUGUGUAGUUCAUUCUCAUUGACUUAUUUUUGUAUUAAGUGUCCUUUGCAACAAUCUGGCUAAUUAAGAGGCUCCAUACACCACUAUGUAUAACGGAUAUACUGAGUCCCUAAGCACUAUUAAAUGCCGGAAGGACGUAAAAGAGCAAUAGAGCAAAUGCAAACCAAUCACAUAUAUCCUUCUGUGUAUUUAUGGUUAUACCUGUAGAGAAAUGUGUGAAUUCCCUAUUGUUUUAAGGAGUCCUUUCUGAAGCACAGAGAAGCUCAUUUAUAGCCUCUCAGCUCUUCACAGACUACUUUUGAAUAGGGAGCUGUGAACGGUCACUGGUACUAUUUUUAAUUUUUCCUCUUUUUCAACAGUCAUUUAAAAGAAGAGGUUUAUUCAUUUAUUCAGUUAAAUUCACCAGGGAUAGAUGCACUGGAGAAGGGACUGAAAGCUCCAAUUCACUUUAAUUUGUCUGUUUGCUUACACUCUCUAUCGGAAUGCAGUAGCAAACAGCCAGAAGUUUUUUAUUCAUGAACAUACUCUUUGAACAAGGACAUUUGAAAAUAGACAUUUAGUUCUGUAACCAUGAAUGUAAGUUUUGGUUCCAGUAAGAGAGAGGCAAUGAACUGUGUCAUAGAUGUCCCGCAGAAUUAAGCUCUUUGCGGGCCUUGGUGUGGCAAAAAGUGGAAAUGUAAAAUCCUGUAGCCCACACCGUUGAAGCAUUGACUCGUCUUUGACACAGCCACCGGGGCUCUGCUCAGAGCCUGCUGGUGAACUGAACUGUCCUGAUGGGCCCAGGGUUAGGCAAGUGCUAAAUCUCAGUGAACUCAUUCAGGGCUCGUGCUUAAAUGUCAAGUUGAUUCGUGUCGUGAGAGUGCUAGCAAUCCAAAGAAACAAACUAGAAAAAAAAAUAAUAAAAUCAAACAAACAAUCA
rnacentral:lncRNA from 1 species